UAUCUUUGUUCCCGAAUCGGUUCCGAAUAGAUGUCCUCUAUCCGGAUUAAAAGGGAAUCGGGUGUAAAUCCCGGACAGUCCCGCUGCUGUGAAACUCCGAUAAAAUUUCCGAUACGUACCUAUUGCCACUGCCUGACUCCACAUAACGAGAACGCGGGAAGGCAUCGGAAAUGAGGAGCCAGUCAGAAGACCUGCCAUUCAUCAAAGGCCGUU
rnacentral:ncRNA from 2 species